AAUAUAAUAUACUUUUGGACAACCCACCAAAGUACAAAAAUGUAUGGACAAAAAGGAAUAUAUUGGUCUAGUUGAAAAGUAAAAAGAACAAAAUAAAAAACGAAAAAACAAAAUGGAUCUCUCUGGAAGGAGACCAAAACAUGAACUGAUAGAAGAUAAUUUUCCAGAUUUGGAAAGUGAGUUCCAUAUUUCGAGUGUGGAUGGACAAAGUUAAUAUAGGGCUUCUAUAAGCUUCUAUGUGGAUUUUAAUAUGUCUAAUUAUUGUUGUGGAGUAAUUUUGGUGAUAUUUGUACUUUUCUCAUCUUUGUAUGUUUGAGCAUUAAAGUGAGAGUUGAUGAUGAUAAAUUUGAGUAUGUUGCAUAAAAAGAUUUGUAGAUGGUGUAGAAGGUGUUUAUGGGAAGAAAUUGUAUCUGCAAGUUUAUUGAUAGCAAAGUUCAGUUAUUAUAGUGAGUUACUUAAGCGCAAGCCAUGGCGCCGAAAGGACGGUGUCUUCAUGUACUUUAAAGAUAAUGCUGGUGUGAUUGUGAACCCCAAGGGAGAAAUGAAAGGGUCUGCGAUGAGUGGCCCAAUUGGUAAAGAAUGAAUUGAUCCAUAGCGCUCACGUUCACUCUAAAACCCUCAAACAUGACGGUUUUACUGGAUUCAUCUCAUCCUACACAUAUUUUGAUUCCCAGGUAUUCAAACAAUUGUGACGAUUUGUGAUUUUAUUAAAUCACUUUGGGCUCAACAGAGGUUACUAGCGUGUCUCUUUGAGAGGAUACUGGCGUCGCCUCUCUCAGAGUUACUGGAUACUGGUCGUCGUCUCCCUUAGCAUUUGAAUCUGUGAAGGAAUUUGUGAACGAGGCUAACAUGAUCAAGAAGACUGGAACUACUGUAGUUGGCAACAAAUAAAAAGAAGUGGAAUUUUUAAGGAAAUUGAGGUCAGGUAUCGACUUCAACAUGCUCAACUUUUGGAUUGGUGAUUUCAUAAAGAUUUAUUGCAAAUUUACUGGAGAUUUUAAUUCCAUUUGAAUUAGGAGUUAAUUAGUUGGUGUGAUGUUGAGAUUAUUACAUUUUAGUUGGAUCUCAAUUUUACUUGAGAUAAAAAAAGAUAAUUUGUUUUGACAAUGUUUACUUUUACAGAAAACUUAUUAUAUUGCUAUUUUGUUCUUUGAUUAUAAUAUUAGAAAACAUUUGCUUUA